AAUAUUGGACAAUGGGGGCAACCCUCAUCCAGCCAUCCCGCGCGUGUGAAGAAGGUCUUCGGUUGGUAAAGCACUUUAUGUUGGGUGGAAGGGCUUUAGGUGAGUACCCUGAAGUUUUGACGUUCCCAACCGACUAAGCCCCGGCUAACUCUUUGCCAGCAGCGGCGGUAAUACAGAGGGUGCAAGCGUUAAUCGGAAUUACUGGGCAUAACGCGCGCGUAGGUGGUUCAGUAAGAUGGGUGUGAAAUCCCCGGGCUUAACCGGGGAACUGCUUUAAUAACUGCUGAGCUAGAGUACGGUAGAGGGUAGAGGAAUUUCCUGUGUAGCGGUGAAAUGCGUAGAUAUAGGAAGGAACACCAGUGGCGAAGGCGACUACCUGGAAUGAUACUGACACUGAGGUGCGAAAGCGUGGGGAGCAA
rnacentral:rRNA from 1 species